rnacentral:rRNA from 1 species
AUUCCAAUCGAACUCGGAGAUAGCUGGUUCUCCCCGAAAUAGCUUUAGGGCUAGCCUUGAAUGUAGAGAUGUGGAGGUAGAGCACUGAAUGUCCUAGGGGGUAUUGCACUUACCGAAGACUAUCAAACUCCGAAUGCCAUUAUCUUUUAUUCAGGAGUCAGACUAUGGGUGAUAAGGUUCAUAGUCGAAAGGGAAAGAGCCCAGACCGUCAGCUAAGGUCCCUAAAUGUAUGUUAAGUGGUAAAGGAUGUGGGAUUGCACAGACAACCAGGAUGUUGGCUUAGAAGCAGCCACUCAUUUAAAGAGUGCGUAAUAGCUCACUGGUCGAGUGAUCCUGCGCCGAAGAUUUCCGGGGCUAAAACAUACUACCGAAGCUACGGCAUCAUAAGAUGAUGGGUAGGGGAGCUUCCCAUGCAGGCUGAAGCGAUACCGUAAGGAGUCGUGGACAGUAUGGGAGAGAGAAUGUUGGCAUGAGUAGCGAGAUGAGGGUGAGAAUCCCUCAGGCCGUAAACCCAAGGUUUCCAGGGGAAGGUUCGUCCACCCUGGGUUAGUCGGGACCUAAGCUCAGGCCGAAAGGCGUAGGCGAUGGACAACAGGUUGAGAUUCCUGUACUACCGAUAAUCGUUUGAGAGAAGGGAUGACACAGUAGGAUAAGCUGAGCACACUGUUGGUUAAGUGUGUCUAAGCGUUGAGGCAGACUAGAUAGGCAAAUCCGUUUAGUUAAUGCUGGGGCGCGAUGGGGAGCGAAACUAAGUAGCGAAGCAGCUGAUUUCACACUGUCGAGAAAAGUCUCUAUCGAGAUUAAAGGUACCCGUACCGCAAACCGACACAGGUGGGUGAGGAGAGUAUCCUAAGGCCAGCGAGAGAACUGUUGUUAAGGAACUCGGCAAAAUGACCCCGUAACUUAGGGAUAAGGGGUGCCCCAGCAAUGGGGCCGCAGAGAAUUGGCCCAAGCGACUGUUUACCAAAAACAUAGGUUUCUGCUAAGUCGCAAGACGAUGUAUAGGAGCUGACGCCUGCCCGGUGCUGGAAGGUUAAGGGGAUCUGUAAGAGCAAUCGAAGCAGUGAUCUUAAGCCCCAGUAAACGGCGGCCGUAACUAUAACGGUCCUAAGGUAGCGAAAUUCCUUGUCGGGUAAGUUCCGACCCGCACGAAAGGCGUAACGAUUUGGGCACUGUCUCAACAACAGACUCGGUGAAAUUGUAAUCCCGGUGAAGAUGCCGGGUACCUGCGACAGGACGGAAAGACCCCAUGGAGCUUUACUGUAGCUUGACAUUGGGUUUCGAUACUACAUGUACAGGAUAGGUGGGAGACUAAGAAAUCAGGGCGUCAGUUUUGAUGGAGUCACCCUUGGGAUACCACCCUUGUAGUAUUGGGACUCUAACCAUAGGCCAUGAAUCUGGUCUUGGGACACUGUCUGGUGGGCAGUUUGACUGGGGCGGUCGCCUCCCAAAAGGUAACGGAGGCGCUCAAAGGUUCCCUCAGUACGGUCGGAAAUCGUACGAAGAGUGUAAAGGCAAAAGGGAGCUUGAUUGCAAGACAUACAGGUCGAGCAAGGUAGAAAUACGGACUUAGUGAUCCGGUGGUUCUGAGUGGAAGGGCCAUCGCUCAACGGAUAAAAGCUACCCUGGGGAUAACAGGCUUAUCU